CCUAACCAAGCCAUAUGCUCUCAAAUGAUAUCUACUCUAAACUGAGCUCAGGGUAGGAGCGUGGUGUAGUGCUUAAAUACUCGAGUCAGCCUCGUCCUUUGAAGAGGUUUUACCUUGUGGUAACAAUCUAGCGUAUAGAAAUGUGAGUUCCUGCCUAUGGAAAAGUUCUGUUUUCUUCUGUGGACUCCAUGGAAUGUAAAAUAUACAGCCUUUCCUCCUUCCAACAUCUGAGAGAUUUCUUUGGAAGUCUCAGUAGUUUUCCUGGACUGCUCUACUUAAAGUACUACCUUCACACUCUGUCAGAGAGUAAUAGCUGGGUAUGUGUUACCCAAUGCUCCUGACAAGCCUGCCACCACUCCUGAGUUUUAGUUGCAUGCAUAGCUGCACAUUAUCCAUAGGAAGGAGGACAAUAUUAAAACGGCAGAGGAAUUCUAAGAAAGGUACAGAAGUCAGAGAAGACACAGAAUUUAAAAACAAAGGC